CUUCUGAAGCACACCCCUGUCUCUUCUCCGUGGGUGUGCGUGGAGGGGCCGAUGGAGCCGGCCGCACUGGCGACCAGCUUUUUAACAGCGCCCGCCCGGCCUCAGAACCGCCCAGAGAGGAGCCGCCCUGGAUGGACAGAGGGCUGAGGGCCGAGCAUCCAGCUGGUCGUCCGGCUGCCCAGCAGUCUCCGACGCCGCGGCUGCCCGUCCGCUGCCCGCCUGCCUGGCAUCUCUUGAUCCUCCCGUUUGAAAUAACUUUGGACCUACAGAAGAGUUGUAAAGACAGCACAAAGAGUCCCUGUAUAUCCUUCACCCGGCUUCCUCUAAUGUCCUUUGCUUUUUCCAGGAUCCAAGCCAGAUACCACAUUGCUUUUAGUUGUCCUGUCUCCGUCUCCUCCCCCUGUGACAGUUCCUCAGGUAAUCUUUCCUUGUGUUUCAUGACCUUGACAUUUUUGAAGAGUACUUGUCAGGCAUUUUGUAGAAUAUCCCUCAAUGUGCGUUUUUCUCAUAUUUUCUCAGUAUUAGACUGAAGGUAUGGGUUUUGGGGGGUUGUCCUACUCUUUGCAUCAUGUUAGGGGAUACAUAAUAGUGAUAUUGAUGAUGUCAAUGUGAUAUUGGUGAUGUCAAGAGUGAUCAGUGGUGAUGUCAACCUUGAUCACUGGGUUAAGUUGGUGUUGGCCACAUCCUCCAUUGUCAAGAUUCCAUUUUCCUUUUUCCUUCUCUGUCAGAAGUGAAUCACUGAGUCUAGCUCGCGAUGCGGAGAGGGAAAUUAAGCUCCACCUCCAGCACCACAGGGUUUAUACUAGACGUUCCCCAUUGCAUAUUGGUCAUUUCUUUCUCUGACAGUGAGAAGCCUGGCUCUUGUUAUCAAUAGUAUAUUUACCUAUUUGUCCAAACUGAGUGUACAUGUAAAGCAGUCUCGAAAUUGCAAAGCCAUGCCUUAUGAGAAACCAGUUUACCACCCAGCGUACAGUAUUUGUGCGGUUAUUUUUGUCUUUAGCAUUAUAGUAACAGGUAAAAACACCAUGUGCGAAGUUAUUUGGGUCAGGUCAUUUCUUCUCCACCCAUUUUAGU